AAUGGGCGCAAGCCUGAUCCAGCAAUGCCGCGUGCAGGAUGAAGGCCUUCGGGUUGUAAACUGCUUUUGUACGGAACGAAAAGGCUCUGGUUAAUACCUGGAGCAUAUGACGGUACCGUAAGAAUAAGCACCGGCUAACUACGUGCCAGCAGCCGCGGUAAUACGUAGGGUGCGAGCGUUAAUCGGAAUUACUGGGCGUAAAGCGUGCGCAGGCGGUUUUGUAAGACAGAGGUGAAAUCCCCGGGCUCAACCUGGGAACUGCCUUUGUGACUGCAAGGCUGGAGUGCGGCAGAGGGGGAUGGAAUUCCGCGUGUAGCAGUGAAAUGCGUAGAUAUGCGGAGGAACACCGAUGGCGAAGGCAAUCCCCUGGGCCUGCACUGACGCUCAUGCACGAAAGCGUGGGGAGCAAA
rnacentral:rRNA from 1 species